AGAGUUUGAUCCUGGCUCAGAACGUACGCUGGCGGCACGCCUAACACAUGCAAGUCGAACGCAGUAGCAAUACUGAGUGGCGAACGGGUGAGUAUAAUGUGGGUAUCUGCCUUUUGGUUUGGAAUAACACGAGGAAACUUGUGCUAAUACCGGAUAAGCCUUCACAGGGAAAGUUUUAUACGCCAAAAGAUGAGCCCGCACUUGAUUAGCUAGUUGGUAAGGUAAUGGCUUACCAAGGCUACGAUCAAUAGCUGUUCUUAGAGGAAGAUCAGCCACAUUGGGACUGAGACACGGCCCAAACUCCUACGGGAGGCAGCAGUGGGGAAUCUUGCACAAUGGGGGAAACCCUGAUGCAGCGAUGCCGCGUGAGUGAAGAAGGCCUUUGGGUUGUAAAGCUCUUUCGUCGGGGAAAAAAAUGACUGUACCCGAAUAAGAAGGUCCGGCUAACUUCGUGCCAGCAGCCGCGGUAAUACGAAGGGACCUAGCGUAGUUCGGAAUUACUGGGCUUAAAGAGCACGUAGGUGGUUAAGAAAGUUGGUGGUGAAAUCCCAAGGCUUAACCUUGGAACUGCCACCAAAACUUUUUAACUAGAGUAUGAUUGAGGAAAGCGGAAUUUCUAGUGUAGAGGUGAAAUUCGUAGAUAUUAGAAAGAACACCAAUUGCGAAGGCAGCUUUCUGGAUCAUUACUGACACUGAGGAACGAAAGCAUGGGUAGCGAAGAGGAUUAGAUACCCUCGUAGUCCAUGCCGUAAACGAUGUGUGUUAGACGUUGGAAAUUUAUUUUCAGUGUCGCAGCGAAAGCGAUAAACACACCGCCUGGGGAGUACGACCGCAAGGUUAAAGCUCAAAUGAAUUGACGGGGACCCGCACAAGUAGUGGAGCAUGUGGUUUAAUUCGAAGAUACGCGCAGAACCUUACCAACACUUGACAUGUUCGUCGCGACUCUAAGAGAUUAGAGUUUUCGGUUCGGCCGGACGAAACACAGGUGCUGCAUGGCUGUCGUCAGCUCGUGUCGUGAGAUGUUGGGUUAAGUCCCGCAACGAGCGCAACCCUCACUUUUAAUUGCCAUCAUUAAGUUGGGCACUCUGAAAGAACUGCCAGUGAUAAGCUGGAGGAAGGUGGGGAUGACGUCAAGUCCUCAUGGCCCUUAUGUGUUGGGCUACACACGUGCUACAAUGGCAUCUACAACAGGAAGCAAAACGGCAACGUUAAGCAAAUCCCGAAAAGAUGCCUCAGUUCGGAUUGCACUCUGCAACUCGAGUGCAUGAAGCUGGAAUUACUAGUAAUCGCGGAUCAGCGCGCCGCGGUGAAUACGUUCCCGGGUCUUGUACACACCGCCCGUCACACCAUGGGAGUUGGUUCUACCUUAAGGCAAAGUUUAAAACCUUUGACCACGGUAUAGUCAGCGACUGGGGUGAAGUCGUAACAAGGUAACC
rnacentral:rRNA from 2 species